ACUGGGCACAGUGUCCCAUGCCUGUAAUCCCAGCAACUCCAGAGGCUGAGGCAGGAGAAUCAUGAGUUGAAAGCCAGCUCUCAGCAGGUUAGUGAGGCAUUUAGCAACUCAGCGAGACCCUGUCUCUU
rnacentral:sRNA from 1 species